rnacentral:rRNA from 1 species
AGUGAACGCUGGCGGUAGGCCUAACACAUGCAAGUCGAGCGGCAGCACAGUAAGAGCUUGCUCUUACGGGUGGCGAGUGGCGGACGGGUGAGGAAUACAUCGGAAUCUACUUUUUCGUGGGGGAUAACGUAGGGAAACUUACGCUAAUACCGCAUACGACCUACGGGUGAAAGCAGGGGAUCUUCGGACCUUGCGCGAUUGAAUGAGCCGAUGUCGGAUUAGCUAGUUGGCGGGGUAAAGGCCCACCAAGGCGACGAUCCGUAGCUGGUCUGAGAGGAUGAUCAGCCACACUGGAACUGAGACACGGUCCAGACUCCUACGGGAGGCAGCAGUGGGGAAUAUUGGACAAUGGGCGAAAGCCUGAUCCAGCCAUACCGCGUGAGUGAAGAAGGCCUUCGGGUUGUAAAGCCCUUUUGUUGGGAAAGAAAAGCAGCAGGUUAAUACCCCGCUGUUCUGACGGUACCCAAAGAAUAAGCACCGGCUAACUUCGUG